rnacentral:rRNA from 1 species
UUCAUAUCGACGGCGGUGUUUGGCACCUCGAUGUCGGCUCAUCACAUCCUGGGGCUGAAGUAGGUCCCAAGGGUAUGGCUGUUCGCCAUUUAAAGUGGUACGCGAGCUGGGUUUAGAACGUCGUGAGACAGUUCGGUCCCUAUCUGCCGUGGGCGCUGGAGAACUGAGGGGGGCUGCUCCUAGUACGAGAGGACCGGAGUGGACGCAUCACUGGUGUUCGGGUUGUCAUGCCAAUGGCACUGCCCGGUAGCUAAAUGCGGAAGAGAUAAGUGCUGAAAGCAUCUAAGCACGAAACUUGCCCCGAGAUGAGUUCUCCCUGACCCUUUAAGGGUCCUGAAGGAACGUUGAAGACGACGACGUUGAUAGGCCGGGUGUGUAAGCGCAGCGAUGCGUUGAGCUAACCGGUACUAAUGAACCGUGAGG